rnacentral:rRNA from 1 species
UACGUAGGGUGCGAGCGUUGUCCGGAAUUACUGGGCGUAAAGAGCUCGUAGGUGGUUUGUCACGUUGUUCGUGAAAUCUCACGGCUUAACUGUGAGCGUGCGGGCGAUACGGGCAGACUGGAGUACUGCAGGGGAGACUGGAAUUCCUGGUGUAGCGGUGGAAUGCGCAGAUAUCAGGAGGAACACCGGUGGCGAAGGCGGGUCUCUGGGCAGUAACUGACGCUGAGGAGCGAAAGCGUGGGGAGCGAACAGG